rnacentral:misc_RNA from 1 species
GAUGAGAACGUAGCGAAAUGCGAUACGUAAUGUGAAUUGCAGAAUUCAGUGAAUCAUCGAAUCUUUGAACGCAUAUUGCGCUCUCUGGUAUUCCGGAGAGCAUGCUUGUUUGAGUAUCAGUAAACACCUCAACUUCCAUAUCUUUUUUGAAAUGGGAGUUGGACUUGAGUGAUCCCAACGCUUUUCCUCACCGAAAAGUGGCGGGUUACUUGAAAUGCAGGUGCAGCUGGACUUUUCUCUGAGCUAUAAGCAUAUCUAUUUAGUCUGCCUAAAAAACAGAUUAUUACCUUUGCUGCAGCUAACAUAAAGGAGAUUAGUUCUUGUGCUGACUGAUGCAGGAUUCACAAAGACAGGCUUCGGCCGACUUUGUAAACUCGAUCUCAAAUCAAGUAAGUCUACCCGCUGAACUUAAGCAUAUCAAUAAGCGGAGGA